rnacentral:pre_miRNA from 1 species
CGGGAGCAAUUCGUCGAACAGCUUGAGGCGCGCCGGCCGGGCAACCCGGGCGUCAGCCACGCACUCCAGCUGUUCGACGAAUGCCUCCUCCACGCCAGGCAAUGC